UGGCCGGCUCUGUCUGGAAGACUAGUGAUUUUGUUGUUGUGUCUCUCUGUUAAACAACAAAUCCCAGUCUGCCGCACGGAGCCGGCCC
rnacentral:pre_miRNA from 10 species